UACAGAGGUCUCAAGCGUUGUUCGGAUUCAUUGGGCGUAAAGGGUGCGUAGGCGGCGAGGUAAGUCGGAUGUGAAAUCCCGGGGCUUAACCCCGGAACUGCAUUCGAUACUGCCUUGCUCGAGUACUGGAGAGGAGACUGGAAUUUACGGUGUAGCGGUGAAAUGCGUAGAUAUCGUAAGGAAGACCAGUGGCGAAGGCGGGUCUCUGGACAGUUCCUGACGCUGAAGCACGAAGGCCAGGGGAGCAAACGGG
rnacentral:rRNA from 1 species